GUGCUUGCCUCAGGGGCACAUAUAUCUAAAUUGGACCCAUACCAAGAAGAUUAGAAUGGCCCCUGCGCAAAGAUGUUUGUUGUCGUGUCAUCAUCAUAGUAGUA